AUGGGCGCGAUUAUUAACGAGGAUGGUUAUAGAGCUGCAUCAGCAACAAAAACAACACAUUUUCGCAUGAAUUUUAGAUAUUUUAAAUAAAAUAUCCCAUGAAUAAGAACAAAAAGGGGCUGAAUUCCAACUUUGUUCCUUUAUUUUCCUUUGCUUUUCUAUCGAAGUGGAUUAUUCAACGGGCUUAUGAUAUAGGUUGUUGUUUUUGUCCUCAGUGACCAUAAACUUUUCUACCGCUAUUAGCUCGACUUUCGUGUAAGUCACUAACGUUGAAAACCAACAACCGUUGCGUAGCUCCUUUAAGAAAAUUAAUUUCUAUUUUAUGUUAACAAUUGUUGUUUGUUUACGAAUGCAAGAUUAAUUGGCCUUCAUCAUCAUCAGAUGCGUCAUUAAUUAAUUAGCAUUCUUUUUAUUUUGUAGGCUGGACAAAACAAUAUGGCGCUUCAUCGUGCGUCAAAGAUACGCUGCUGUGUUACUCAAAAAAGGAAAAUUCCUUCGUCAUUGGAAGUUCCCUUGUUUCUGAGUACCUUUAGUUAGACUGAAGUAAUACAGCAUACUCGCGAUAACUAGGACCCUCGAAGGCCUGAAAAAAUCGGUUCCAGUAAGCUAAAGCCAGAUCUAAGAUGAUAAGACUCAUGCAUAGUCUGCUACUUACACCUGCCAUUUUUUUCUGUUUCUGAUACAUAUACAUAUAUAUACCAUUGUAGGAAUUUGUGCUUGUACUUACAUAUGUAGAACUUUUAUCUGUUAUCUUGUUAUGGUUGUAAGUUAUUAUUUUGGAGACCAGGGUCCAUUUAAGCCAAGUUUUCUAGUUGCGUUUAGCAAAGAAAUCCAACGGAUCGCGAAAUUAAGCUCCAAUUCGUACUUACCCAGGCUCUUCCUUAUAUAUUCGCGCGAUCUAAUUUUGCACAUCCCAAGUAGAGGCACCCUGACACCUAAAAAUGCCGCUUUAAACAAAAAUCUCUUUCGAAGGAAAUAACAAUCGUCGGUGAGCAAAUUACCAUGAAGCACACAAAGUUAUAUCAAAUUCAUAAAUACAAUUUUAUAUUUGAUUCCUGUGAUCUUUAAAUCUUUACUCUCCGCGAAGGCAUUUCAUUGUUGUGGUUGCUGUGGGACAGAUGACUUUUCUUGUGAAAUAUGGACCUCCCUCCCAACACGCUUUAAACACGUCUGUCAAAUUAUUAACAUGUUUCAAAUCAUCGGCAUUUUAUUGAUAUAUUAACUCCUAAUCCGAUAUACAAUACCAUCUGCAUGUUUCUUCCGUAUUAAACAUAAAUAAAUAAGUAAAUCUACGCGCGCUUGCGUUGAUCUGCUGACUCAUCAUUUAUACACCGCUGUUUUUUGUUUCCGAUAUUUCGUUUAUUUAUUUAUUUUUCUUUCAAUUGUUAUGUUAAAGUAACACCUGAACGUUUUUACCGCUUCACAAUGCACAAUACAUUUGAUAUCAAAGUAGGCGUAGAUAUCAUCGCAACCUCGUGCCAAAGGCUUGUUAGGUUUAAUCAGUUCCGUCCCACCAGAAAAACCGAACAAGCCCUACGGACAAGGUGGAUCUUAUCUAACCUGAAACAGAUUUAACAAAACAUUCGGCGAGUUCAUACAAUUAUCUUUUAAAGAGAUUUAUGUUUUUAUAGAGAAUCCGAAAUUUUUAGCACAUUUAAAAAUAACGGUCUUGGCAAUUUACGUAAGAGUAAAAACGCAUUGCCAAAUAUUUCGCACGGUAAUGAGAAAAUGUUAUAAAAUGGAAAUUAUAUGCUCGACAAUACUUUCAACGCUGGACAAAACAAUAUGGCGCUUCAUCGUGCGUCAAAGAUACGCUGCUGUGUUACUCAAAAAAGGAAAAUUCCUUCGUCAUUGGAAGUUCCCUUGUUUCUGAGUACCUUUAGUUAGACUGAAGUAAUACAGCAUACUCGCGAUAACUAGGACCCUCGAAGGCCUGAAAAAAUCGGUUCCAGUAAGCUAAAGCCAGAUCUAAGAUGAUAAGACUCAUGCAUAGUCUGCUACUUACACCUGCCAUUUUUUUCUGUUUCUGAUACAUAUACAUAUAUAUACCAUUGUAGGAAUUUGUGCUUGUACUUACAUAUGUAGAACUUUUAUCUGUUAUCUUGUUAUGGUUGUAAGUUAUUAUUUUGGAGACCAGGGUCCAUUUAA